UUCUACCACAGUAGUAAAAUGGGGUGAUAACAGCUGCCUGUCCAGCCAAGAGAAAGAUAAGAGGGAAGGAAAAAUCAAAGUGUGAGUCCAAGACGACAGGCCCUCUGUUCCUCUUUUCCUCCUGGUCUUUUUGAAUUUAGUGUGAAGAUAUACAAGCUAAGAUUAAUGGGAUGGGAGCAAAGAGGU